rnacentral:rRNA from 1 species
CGGCGGCGCAUGCCGCAGCGGCAAAAACUACCGGUGGUAUGGGAUGGGCCCGCGUCUGAUUAGCUAGUUGGCGGGGCAACGGCCCACCAAGGCGACGAUCAGUAGCCGGCCUGAGAGGGCGGACGGCCACAUUGGGACUGAGACACGGCCCAAACUCCUACGGGAGGCAGCAUG